rnacentral:lncRNA from 1 species
CAGCAACAUGUAAACUGAUUCAAAUUACAACGUUUGUAGCAGCCCUAGGGACUAAACACGGAUAAAUGAACUGAAAUACCUAAAGCAUUCUGAAAUGAUUAGCGACUUUAAAUUACCAAAAGGCCAUGAUCCAGUUUUAGAAUGAUUGGAAUUUAUGACAUAACUAAACCUUUAACCAAUUUAAACCAAUAACAAAUGUUUUUAAACAACCAUGCCUUAAUUGCAGCAGCCCUAAUAAACUAGUGUGUUUCAAUACUAAUGACUUCUUUGAAUUCGUAAUUUUAAAUUAACACAUGACACAUGAUUAACAAUCCCAAACUAAUUCAAAACUAACACUGCUAAGAACAAUCCUCAGAUGACCGUGAUUUCAAAACUGAACUACUGAAGUUAUUAAUAAAAAAACGUUAUCAUGCCUGGACUCAACAUAAACAGUGGCCGACGUACUGAUUUUCAACUCAGUUUCUAGUUGUUAAUACAAAUGAAGAUCAUAGAUCUCAAAAUCAUAUUCCUGUUCCAGCUAUUCUUCUAAUUUUAGAAGUUAAACUACACAAAACAAAACUAUACUAUAAUAAGGCUAAUGAAUAGUCAUUAAUCUAACAGUCCAAACAGUCCAUUACAAAUACAUUAAUGGCAAUAAAUACAUCAAACAAAUCUUAGAACUACUCGUAGUACAAUAGACUAUUAGAGUAGUAAAAUCUGCAACAGAGAUCAGGCAGCAAUUGCAUUUCAAUUUCACUGGAGAGGUUACAUCAGAUCAGUCUCAAAGCGUGUACCUGAAGUAGAAUAAAACGUAAGAGAGGAAGAGAAUCAAUAGCAGCAGACAGGCAGCCAAAAUAUCAACUCAAAAUAAGGUGUAUAGUCCAGCAAAUAACAUCAAAACUCAGGAAGCAAUUUGCAGAAUUUCAAAACCAGCACAUACACUCAAUAGAUCUGACUGAACCCUGAAUCUUAAGAACUAAAAAGAGCUUUCGAAUUCCAGAUGUAGUUUUGGAUCUAAAAUUCAAAUUUUAGCUUGUAGAGACUUGUGGUAUAUUUGGGGGGGGGUGGGGGGUGGGGGGGAUUUUCAGAUGCUGAAACUUGUGAAUUAAGGAAGUACCUACUGCUUUUUAUAGGCAAAGGUUGAGGGGGUUUUCUGAUUUUUGUUUUCUACCUUAGCCCCUCUUAUAUUUUUAGCGUUUUAACCAAUUAGUUCCUUAUUUACUGACUUGUGUCUCAAGUCACUACACUUAUUUUGUUAAUUUCAACUUUAAACCCCUUCUAGAAGGUCCUAAGGAAUUUCAGUAUCAAUUAUUAAAGAUUCUCUACCCUUGAAUUACCGCAAUUACCCCUGCUUUAUUCUGAGAUUUACUAACCUAGCCCUAACUGAACUCAGCCCCUUUACCUUAGUCAGAAUUUGCCUAUAGUCACUCAAAGAUUUGGAAUUAUUCAGCUAUAUCCAAACAACUAAUAAAAAUCCCAAUAACUGAACUAAGAAUUAACCCUAAUUAAUACUAGUAUUCUGAAGCUAAUUCUAUCACUAAAUUAAUGAAGCAGUAAAAUAUCAAUUAAAAAUAUUAAGAAUCAAGUAAACAAAACAGUAACACUAUGAUUAAUCAAAUCUAUUUUCUUACUCCUACAUUAAUAAACUAUGGGCAAACAUCAAUGAAACAGGAAUCCAAACACUAAGUCACACCAAAUCAAGGAGAAAAUUCUAAACCUAAUAAAGGAAAAUCUAAAAGACCUAAGAACAAAUUCUAUUAACAGACAUGACAGACUAGUAAUAUCAACAUAACAAAAUCAAGAAAUAGACAGAAUCGACUCCACUAAAUCCCCUAACUCAUAUACUGAAGAAACAAGGUAAACGAGGACUAAAAUAAGUAGAAGAAGAAACUUGC